UAACCUACGGGAGGCAGCAGUGAGGAAUAUUGGUCAAUGGGCGCGAGCCUGAACCAGCCAAGUCGCGUGAGGGAAGACGGUCCUAUGGAUUGUAAACCUCUUUUGUCGGGGAGCAAAAGACGCCACGCGUGGCGUUCCGAGAGUACCCGAAGAAAAAGCAUCGGCUAACUCCGUGCCAGCAGCCGCGGUAAUACGGAGGAUGCGAGCGUUAUCCGGAUUUAUUGGGUUUAAAGGGCGCGCAGGCGGGCUGUUAAGCCGGCGGUAAAAAUUCAGGGCUCAACCCUUUCGAGCCGUCGGAACUGGCA
rnacentral:rRNA from 1 species